GACGAACGUUGGCGGCGUGCUUAAUACAUGCAAGUCAACUGAAGCAGUGGUAGCAAUAUCGCUGUGGAGGUGGCGCACGGGUGAGUAACACGUAGGUAAUCUGCCUUCAGGUCUGGCAUAACUCCGGGAAACCGGGGCUAAUAGCAGAUGAUGCAGCGGCUCGACAUCGAGACAGUUGUUAAAGCUAUGGCGCCUGAAGAUGAGCCUGCGUCUGAUUAGCUAGUUGGCGGGGUAACGGCCCACCAAGGCAACGAUCAGUAGCUGGUCUGAGAGGAUGAUCAGCCACACUGGAACGGAGACACGGUCCAGAGUCCUACGGGAGGCAGAAGUAAGGAAUAUUGCUCAAUGGGAGAAAUCCUGAAGCAGCAACGCCGCGUGAGGGACGAAGGGCUUUUGCUUGUAAACCUCUGUAGUGAGAGAAAAAAAUCCCAAUCUUUGGGACAUGAUGGUAUCUCAAAAGUAAGCCCCGGCUAACUACGUG
rnacentral:rRNA from 1 species